rnacentral:misc_RNA from 1 species
CCAAUAGCGUAUAUUAAAGUUGCUGCAGUUAAAAAGCUCGUAGUUGAAUUUCGGGACCAAUAUGUCGGUCGUGCUUCGGUACGUACUGUCAUUAUUGGUUUCUCCCUUCUGAAGAACCUUGAUGUCAUUAAUUUGGUGUCUUGGGGAAUCAGGACUGUUACUUUGAAAAAAUUAGAGUGUUUAAAGCAGGCUCGCGCUUGAAUACAUUAGCAUGGAAUAAUGAAAUAGGACGUUUGAUUCUAUUUUGUUGGUUUCUAGGAUCGACGUAAUGAUUAAUAGGGAUAGUUGGGGGCAUUAGUAUUCAAUUGUCAGAGGUGAAAUUCUUGGAUGUAUUGAAGACUAACUUCUGCGAAAGCAUUUGCCAAGGAUGUUUUCAUUAAUCAAGAACGAAAGUUAGGGGAUCGAAGACGAUCAGAUACCGUCGUAGUCUUAACCAUAAACGAUGCCAACCAGCGAUUAGCCUGAGUUCCUUAAAUGACUCGGCUAGCAGCUUCCG